UACGUAGGGUGCAAGCGUUGUCCGGAAUUACUGGGCGUAAAGAGCUCGUAGGCGGUUUGUCGCGUCGUCUGUGAAAUCCCGCAGCUCAACUGCGGGCUUGCAGGCGAUACGGGCAGACUUGAGUACUGCAGGGGAGACUGGAAUUCCUGGUGUAGCGGUGAAAUGCGCAGAUAUCAGGAGGAACACCGGUGGCGAAGGCGGGUCUCUGGGCAGUAACUGACGCUGAGGAGCGAAAGCGUGGGGAGCGAACAGG
rnacentral:rRNA from 1 species